rnacentral:sRNA from 1 species
AACUGCGGUCCGGAGUGAAUUGGUUAUGAUUAGAAGAAGAAUCCCCCCCAUCCACACCAACUUGACCGCUGU